rnacentral:rRNA from 1 species
UACGAAGGAGGCGAGCGUUGUUCGGAAUUACUGGGCGUAAAGGGCGCGUAGGCGGCGACUCAAGUUAGAUGUGAAAGUCCUGGGCUUAACCUGGGGACUGCAUUUGAUACUGGGUUGCUUGAAUUCGGGAGAGGAUAGCGGAAUUCCCAGUGUAGAGGUGAAAUUCGUAGAUAUUGGGAAGAACACCGGUGGCGAAGGCGGCUAUCUGGACCGACAUUGACGCUGAGGCGCGAAAGCGUGGGGAGCAAACAGG